CCACCGGUCCCGGGGUUUCUCUCUCUCUCUGUCUCUCUCUGUCUCUGUCUCAUGGCGGAGACGCGGCGCUGAGGAGCGGAGAGGGUUCACGGAUGGAGCUCGCUGUUGUUGUGCUGCUGCUGAACAGCCGCCGUUUACCGAGAGCAGCCGGAAGCGGAUUGUUGUCGUUGUUGUUGUUUGUCCGGUGUGGGUUCCGGGGAAGCCCCGGUUUCAUCCCGGAGAGAUGAUGGCGGAGAGGCCCGUGGAUGUGAGCGCUCUGCCGCCGGAGGUCCGGGAGCAGCUGGCUGAGCUCGACCUGGAGCUGUCCGAGGGUGACAUCACACAAAAAGGAUACGAGAAGAAGAGGGCCAAGUUACUCGCCCCGUACACGACCCAGACACAAAAUUUGACUCCGCCCCCACAGUAUGAUGGACAGGAACCUGGUCCAAGUUCUGCUACUGUACCUAGCAACGCCUCCUCAAGCUCCUCCUCCUCUCGGCAUCGUCGUGCACGGCGAGCACACAGGAGCGGUGGCACUCGGGAUGAGCGUUACAGAUCAGAUAUACACACUGAAGCUGUUCAGGCUGCUUUGGCCAAACACAAAGAAGAGAAAAUGGCAUUGCCGAUGCCGACCAAACGCCGCUCAGCGUAUGUGCAGUCACCCAUCGACAACUGCAGCCCACCAGACUCGUCCUCGUCCUCGGAUGAUGAAAGCGAGUCGGGGGCCAGCGGGGGUCAGCAGCCAUCUCCAGACUCGUGGAUGAACAGCUCCAUCCCGGGUUCCUCCACCUCGUCCUCCUCAGCAUCCUCCACCAUGUCUCAUGGAGAGUCUCGUCCUCCUCAAGCCCCUCAGCCACAGAGUCAACACACACACACUCAGCCACCACACUCGCACUCGCAGCCGUCCGCCCUCGCCGAGGCCUUCGCCCACGCCUGCAUCGAUCCAGCAGGACUCGGUGGUCUGGGUGCUGACGGCGAGGCUUCGAAUCAGACACGAAAUCGAGGAUCACGUGUGGAUCUGCCGUCUAACGCCGUGGUGAGAGGAAUGAGUCGUGGACAGAGCAGAUCCAGCAUGAUUGAGACCGCAGACGGUGUUCCUGUGUCCAGUCGUGUGUCCACUAAGAUCCAGCAGCUUCUCAACACCCUGAAACGACCCAAACGACCUCCACUCAGCGAGUUUUUCAUGGAUGACCAAGAGGAGAUUGUAGAAGUCCCUCGGCCGGACCCGAAUACCCCGAGGCCAGAGGGCCGUCAGAUAAUCCCAGUGAAGGGAGAGCCGCUGGGCGUGGUCAGUAACUGGCCCCCUGCCCUGCAGGCUGCACUGGCCCGAUGGGGUGCUACUCAGGGCAAAAGCCCCGCCCUCACAACCCUGGACAUUACAGGAAAACCACUCUACACUCUCACAUAUGGGAAACUGUGGAGUCGUAGUGUUAAACUGGCCUACACCCUUCUGAACAAACUGGGAACCAAGAACGAGCAGGUGCUGAAGCCUGGAGACCGGGUGGCACUCGUGUACCCGAACAGUGACCCAGGCAUGUUUUGGGUGGCAUUUUAUGGCUGUUUGCUGGCAGAGGUCAUUCCUGUGCCAAUAGAGGUGCCGCUGUCCCGCAAGGAUGCAGGCAGCAGUCAGGUGGGCUUCCUGUUAGGGAGCUGUGGUGUGAGUCUCGCGCUGACCAGUGAGAUCUGUCUGAAGGGUCUCCCGAAGACCUCCACUGGAGAAAUCCUGCAGUUCAAAGGCUGGCCAAGACUGAAGUGGGUGAUUACUGACUCUAAAUAUCUCACCAAACCUUCGAAAGACUGGCAGCCGCACAUCCCCACUGCUAACACCGACACGGCGUAUAUAGAGUAUAAGGCGAGUAAGGAUGGGACAGUAGUGGGCGUAGCUGUGUCGAAGAUAGCCAUGCUAACACACUGUCAGGCGCUCUCACAGGCCUGUAACUACUGCGAGGGUGAAACACUGGUGAACGUUUUGGACUUUAAGAAGGACAUGGGUCUUUGGCACGGCAUCCUCACAAGUGUGAUGAACCGGAUUCAUGCCAUCAGUGUCCCAUAUGCAGUAAUGAAGGCGUGUCCUCUGUCUUGGGUCCAGCGUGUUCACAUACACAAAGCACGUGUUGCCUUGGUGAAGUGUCGUGACCUGCACUGGGCCAUGAUGGCACACAAGGAGCAGAGAGACAUCAGUCUGUCUUCACUGCGUAUGCUGAUCGUCGCUGAUGGAGCCAAUCCCUGGUCUGUGUCAUCAUGUGAUGCGUUCCUGAACGUGUUUCAGUCUCAUGGGUUGAAGCCGGAGGUGAUUUGUCCGUGUGCCACGUCCCCCGAGGCCAUGACUGUGGCCAUACGCAGACCUGGAGUUCCCGGUGCUCCACUCCCCGCCCGGGCCGUGCUCUCCAUGACGGGUCUGAGUCACGGGGUCAUCAGGGUCAACACAGAGGACAAGAACUCCGCCCUCACUGUGCAGGACGUGGGUCAUGUGAUGCCUGGAGCACUGAUGUGUAUCGUGAAGCCAGACGGGCCGCCGAUGCUCUGUAAGACGGAUGAAAUUGGAGAGAUCGUGGUAAACUCUCGCGCCGGAGGAACCUUGUACUACGGCCUGCAGGGAGUCACCAAGAACACGUUUGAGGUGAUCCCUGUGAAUGCGAGUGGAACUCCUAUCGGGGAAAUCCCGUUCGUGCGCUCAGGACUGCUGGGAUUUGUCGGACCAGGCAGUCUGAUAUUCGUGGUGGGGAAGAACGAGGGCUUGCUGACGGUCAGUGGGCGUCGCCACAACGCUGACGACGUGGUGGCUACAGCUCUCGCCGUGGAGCCGGUCAAGACUGUGUACAGGGGCAGGAUCGCAGUGUUCUCAGUGACGGUGUUCUACGACGAGCGGAUUGUGAUUGUAGCGGAACAGAGACCCGAUGCGAGUGAAGAGGACAGUUUUCAGUGGAUGAGCAGAGUGCUACAGGCCAUAGACAGCAUCCAUCAGGUGGGUCUGUACUGCCUGGCUCUGGUUCCUGCGAACACGCUGCCCAAAACUCCUCUGGGUGGAAUUCACAUCUCAGACACUAAGCAGCUCUUCCUGGAGGGGGCGCUGCAUCCCUGCAACAUCCUGGUGUGCCCCCACACAUGUGUAACCAACAUGCCCAAGCCUCGGCAGAAACAACCAGUGGGUGUAGGUCCUGCCUCCAUCCUGGUUGGGAACCUGGUUGCUGGAAAGAGAAUCGCUCAGGCAGCAGGAAGAGAUCUGGGAAUGAUCGAGGACCAAGAUCUGGUCAGAAAGCUGUGUAUGUGGCCCACUAUGAUGCAUCAGUAUCUGACCGAGGCUCUGCAGUGGAGAGCGCAGACAGACCCGGACCACGUGCUGUACGUACUGCUGAAUGCAAAGGGUGUUGCAGUUUGCACAGCUACGUGUGUACAACUUCACAAAAGGUCUGAGAAGAUCGCUGCUGCUCUCAUGGAGAGAAGUGGAAUUAGCAUCGGAGAGAACGUUGUGCUGUUAUACCCACCAGGUAUUGAUCUAAUUGCAGCGUUUUAUGGCUGUCUGUACGCCGGUUGUAUUCCCGUCACCGUGAGGCCACCACACCCACAGAACCUCUCAGCCACGCUGCCUACAGUCCGCAUGAUCAUCGACGUGAGUAAAGCCGCCUGCAUCCUCACCACUCAGAUUCUCACCAAGAUUCUCAGAUCUAAAGAAGCCGCUGCUUCAGUCAACAUAAAAACCUGGCCCAUUAUAAUAGACACAGAUGAUCUUCCUCGUAAACGUCCUCCAAACAUCUACAAACCUCCGUCUGCCGAUGUGAUCGCUUACCUGGACUUCAGCGUGUCCACCACGGGCAUGCUCACAGGAGUCAAGAUCUCUCACUCGGCAGUCAGCGCUCUGUGUCGCUCCAUAAAGCUGCAGUGUGAGCUGUACUCCUCUCGCCAACUCGCCAUCUGCCUCGACCCGUACUGCGGACUCGGCUUCGUGCUCUGGUGUCUCGCCAGUGUGUACUCAGGUCAUCAGUCCAUCCUGAUUCCUCCUCUGGAGUUGGAGAGUUCGUUGUCUCUGUGGUUGAGCACGCUGAGUCAGUACCGCAUCAGAGACACCUUCUGCUCCUACUCCGUCAUGGAGCUGUGUACCAAAGGACUCGGGGGACAAACCGACAUGCUGAAGGCUCGGGGAGUGAACCUGGCAUGUGUGAGGAGUUGUGUGGUCGUAGCUGAAGAACGUCCACGUCUGGCUCUCACUCAGUCCUUCUCCAAACUGUUUAAAGACCUCGGGCUCUCCACUCGCGCCGUCAGCACCGCCUUCGGCUCCAGAGUCAACCUCGCCAUCUGUCUACAGGGUACAACUGGACCAGACCCCUCUACUGUGUAUGUUGACAUGAAGUCCCUCCGACAUGACAGGGUGAGGCUGGUCGAGAGAGGUGCGCCUCAGUCUCUUCCUCUGAUGGAGUCUGGAACAAUCCUUCCUGGUGUGAGGGUUGUGAUCGUAAAUCCUGAGACUAGGGGACCACUGGGAGACUCUCAUCUGGGAGAGAUCUGGGUGAACAGUCCUCACACAGCGUCUGGUUACUACACCAUCUACGGAGAGGAGAGUCUGCAGGCCGACCACUUCAACACCAAGCUCAGCUUCGGAGAUCCACACACACUGUGGGCCAGGACGGGGUACCUCGGCUUCGUCAAGAGGACCGAGCUCACCGACUCCAGCGGGGAGAGACAUGAUGCUCUGUUCAUCGUUGGUUCUCUGGAUGAGACUCUGGAGUUGAGAGGACUGCGCUAUCACCCCAUUGAUAUAGAGACCAGCGUGCAGCGAGCUCACCGCAGCAUCGGAGAGAGCGCCGUGUUCACCUGGACUAACCUGCUGGUGGUGGUGUCGGAGCUGUGCGGCUCGGAGCAGGACGCGCUGGACCUGGUGCCUCUGAUCACCAACGUGGUCCUGGAGGAACAUCACCUGAUCGUGGGCGUGGUGGUGAUCGUGGACCCCGGCGUCAUCCCCAUCAACUCCCGCGGAGAGAAGCAGAGGAUGCACCUGAGAGACUCCUUCCUGGCCGAUCAGUUAGACCCCAUAUACGUGGCCUACAACAUGUGACGAGAACAUCUCCAGACCUUCACCUGCUUCACGCUCAGAUUGAGUUCUCAUCAUGGGCUGGGAAGUACAGCUUACACCCAGGCUGCUUCUCAUUUCUUAUUCGUGCGUCCUCGCCCCCUUUCCUCACAUCUUGGCUCCUCCCCCUCAGGAAGUUAGGAUGAAAGGAACCCAAGCUAGUCGAAUGGAACAUCCUCGCUCAGAUGGAGGACCCCGCUGAGCUUCAGGGAUCUGCUGUUAUGUUAUUGGAGUUUGAUUAAUAAUAAUGUUCUUAAUAAAGCUAAAUGCGCUGCUAGCAUGUGAAACGUCUGCGUUAUUCAACAAUGAAUUAAUAAACGAUCGUAUCUUUUGUGCGGCUGUGCCGGUCCGAAUCCACGAGGAUCGAUUCAUUACAAUGCUCGCUGUAAGCAUAUCAUUAUUUAGUUAUAUUUCACACGAAAUUCCAUCACGUCUUCUUUUUGUGUGAGAUUGUGUCAGAGGUAGAGGCGGAGGGGAGUUUAUACGUGCGUCAGGUCGCUCCUCGCCCCUCUGGAAGUUUCCUCGUUCCUCGCUGUGCAGUUAAAGAUGUUUGAUGUAGAUCACGGGUCACGGGCUGGAGGACGGAGGAGCGAGGAAGCAUCAGUUUCAGUAUCGACACGCAGCUCUUAACAUUUCCUACUACACCCUACUUCCUGUCCAGAACUCAAAUUGGUCACUUCCUGCCUGGAUACAAGAAGAUAUGAUGUUAGAGAUUAUAAAUAAAUAAACAAAUAAAUAGACAUUUUCGGAUAAAUGCAACGUUUAGGUUGAUGUAUAUGUGCAGCUUCCUGUUAAGCAGAGUAGGAUAUCAUAUCGUCUCGUAUGUAAAGAACAUUAUUAACUCUGCUCUUAUUUCAUUUCCAACUAAAGAGGCGGGACGCGGAGUGCUGGAGAAGGAACGGUAAAAAUACAGGCUGCGUCUCGAUACUCAAACCGAUGCUUCCUGGUUUCCUCGCUCCGCCGUCCUCCAGCCCGUGACCCGGAAAUCGAUCGGCGCGGUCAUUAAUGGUUCCUCUCUCCUCGCAGCUCAUCCUCGCAUCACGUCCUGAGGGGGUGGAGCUAAGAUGCGAGGAAAGGAAACGAGUAUGCACAAAUUGCUGAUCCCCGGACGAUCGUGUUUUUAAACCCGAAUGAAAGGAGCUGAUUUUACAGUAAUGGUGUUUAGGGGCGUUGAGUACAGCGUGUGGUGCUGAGUUCAGACUGAAAUUCUGAUAUCGGUUCAGCGGUCUCAGUUCAGCGCGGUUCUGAUCCGAGGUGUAGGUAGAACCGUUUAAAAAAAAAAAAAAAAAAAAGAUCCUGCUCACGCUCACUCUUGUGAUUGUUUUAUAAAGAAUUACGGCUGCUUUCAGACGAUCAGCGUUUUGCUCGCGGCUCGCCGUACCGAGCGUUUUUACUGCCAGGUUUAAGCGCGGAUACGCCGUCGAGAUGCACGUGAAAACAUAGAUCGUUCACAGAGCUAGCUCAUCCUGCGUGCGUGCUUCUAAACCUCAGAGCAAAUACGGAGAAGGGUUGCGUAUUGAGUCAUGAUAAGAAAUCAUGAUAAGAUGAUAAACACGGCUACUGAGGAUGAGUGAAGCAGCUGGUGAACGAGUGCUUGGUCAGCUUAUCCUUCAACAUAACAUAAACAUCGGCAUUAUCUUAUUCAUUCUAAUAAUACAAAUACUGUGAUAAAGUCUCUUAUAUCCUCUGCACACACACUCUCUCACACGCGCACACACACACACUACAAUUUCAUGUUCUCGAUUUACUGUCUCCCAGCUCCAUUAAGUUGUGUGCACGAGUAACUGUCACGAUAUAAAAAAAAAACCCCUAAAAAGUAAUAUAAUGAUAGGAUGCGCUGAAUAAAGUGCUAUUUUAUAAUCUUCUGGAAGCCAUAUUGUUAAAUGAACCCGAAUCUGCGGUGAUAAAUUACGUCAUACGUUUUUACUGAUGAUAAACGAAUCAACGCACUAAACGAGGCGUACGUAUGCGAUGUCAAAAGAGUCUCGUAAAAUAACUUUUUACUUUGAAUGUGCCGAGUUUUGAGAGUUUUUAGCGCUGUAGUGUUUAUGCAACGCGAUAAAAUACAUCACAAAAGUUAUUACACACAGCAUGGUAAAGAUCAUUUCUGUUUGGUUUUAUGUGUGUGUGUGUGUGUGUGUGUGAGAUUUAUUUAGAUAAUGUUUAUGUAUAUUUUAAGUGAAAUCUGAGGAACAAGGUUGCCAGGUCUGCAUAUAAAAUCCACCUAACACCCAAACAAAUGCCAAAUCAGCAUCCUCGUGCAUUAUCUUGUUUAUUAAAUGUAGUAAUUAAUAAAUGAUGUGUAUGAGAGGAAGUCGGGAUGUGUCGGGUGAUUCCAUGGAGAUGAAUCUGAGGGUCAGCUAAUUAUUUUUAUUUUGAUAUAGAGGGUACGCAUGCCACGCCCGCUGAGUGGCAAAGACUCUGAGCGGCAGCAUUAGUGUACAGUGUGAAUUCCACGAAAACACAGAAUAAACACCUCUAAAAUGGGAAAAAGCUGCUGUGCGAUCGCCUGCUAACAGAUUCAACAAGAAUUCAGACCUAUCUUUUUACAGAGUGACAAAAUAGCAUUCAGUCCUUUUUUACUCAGUCGAGCGGUGUAAGUGUAAGAUCUUCUGGCGCGUGGUGUUCAUGGUGUAUGAUGAUGAAUAAUUUGCUCCAUAUUUCUUUUUAAACGCUGCCUAUUUCCACUGAUGAAUAACGGAGACUCGUUCAUUCUCCGACUGUGUUUUACUUCACAGAUAUAUAACGUUAGGAAGUGGAAGCAGUGUUAGCUACAAACUAGGACUAGCUAGUCCACAUACAACCAGAAUGUUUAUUGGUGUUCUUGUCUCUUUAAUUUCUCCAACAAACCCCGCCUUGAAGUAGGACCGAGCGUCAAGGCUUUUGUUUGCCUUCAGGCUUUGCUUAGUGUAUUUCCCCGGCGUCGAAUUCAGGUACAUAUAAAAGUCGGGAAAACCGAUUUCUGGCCACAUGCCAAUGUCCAUGGACCACAGGUUCUUGGGCAAGUUGUGAGGGUCACUGUCGAGUCCAACUGCCUUUCAUUUACGCUGAUAAUCGUGAGUUAUACUAGUGUUUUCACAGCUUCACCUAUUAAAUCCAGCCAUCUUGCUGGAUGUUUUGCCGCUCAGUCGGCCGAGGGGGCGUGUCCCGGUGGGAAAGUGACGCCAGCGCAUACCCUCUAUAGAGAUAUUAAUCAUCUAAAGGACUUAAAAUUCCUGAACCUGGCAACCCUGCAGAAAAGGCUUUCCCGCCUUUUCCUGAUAAAAUGAAAUGAGCGUGUUGCAUUGUGGGAUACGCUAACAAACACACACACACACACACACAGAGCACUAGAUCAGGAAUCUGCACUAUACACUACAGUAGCAGUACUAAUACAGUAACGUCUCAGAUCACGUUAUAAAUAAAUCAAAGAUUUUGCACUAAACUAUAGAACACUUUUCUACAGCUUUAGGACAUCAUGUGAUCACACUGUUCACACUAAAGGUACACCGUUUGAGACACAGCCCAUGACCUGAUAAGAUUCUUCUCUUGUGUUUUAAUUUAAUAAUACUACUACUACUACUACUACUACUACUAAUAAUAAUAAUAAUAAUGAUGAUGAUUUCGUGCCACUAUAUUGCGGUGUAUGAAUGUGCACGUCAUGAUUAUUAUGCAACCCUCUCCUCCCUGUUCACUUUCUCCUGUUUCAUUUUGUACAUUGGUUUAAUUCCUAUUUUAUAUUUAAAUGGAAAAAAAAAGAAUAAAAGGCAUUUAUUUUGCAGCA